rnacentral:rRNA from 1 species
CACGUAGGGCGCAAGCGUUGUCCGGGAUUAUUGGGCGUAAAGAGCUCGUAGGCGGUCUGUUACGUCUGCUGUGAAAACCCAGGGCUUAACCCUGGGCUUGCAGUGGAUACGGGCAGACUAGAGGCAGGUAGGGGAGAAUGGAAUUCCCGGUGUAGCGGUGAAAUGCGCAGAUAUCGGGAGGAACACCGGUGGCGAAGGCGGUUCUCUGGGCCUGACCUGACGCUGAGGAGCGAAAGCGUGGGGAGCGAACAGG